rnacentral:misc_RNA from 1 species
AGUGCCAGGAGAUUGACAUUUUUGGGGAGAUUGCUGGUAUAUCCUUCAGCCCUGAUGCAGAAGCUCUCUUUGUAGGGGUUGCUGACCGCACUUAUGGUAGCUUAUUAGAAUUCAACAGGACGCAUUACAACUGUUAUUUAGACUCUGUGUUCUAACGUAGGCAAAUCUAUAUUUAAACCAACCUCUUGGAUGUGUAUAUUACUUGGAAGGCUUUAGUUUCUAGUUUUGUUUGAAGCUUAGGCUUUGCCCCUUCUUGGUUGCCGAAUUCUUUAUUCUGGCUCUAGACAGCUUACCAGUGCGCUUAGGCAACGGUGUCAUCUUAUUGCUUUAAGAAGUUAUUUCUGUGAAGUUGAUUUUUCGAAGCUGGCAGAAAUAAGAGAGAUUUUGGCAUCGUGAAGCACUGGAGAUUGCUGGGUAUAUCCGGGAAACUUUGUAGCUUUCGAUUCAUUACUAAUAUAUAGUGAUUUGCCUUCUCUAUUCGUAGUUUUCUCUGUUUAAUACUUGUAUGGCAGUGCUUACAGGC